UACAGAGGGUGCGAGCGUUAAUCGGAUUUACUGGGCGUAAAGCGUGUGUAGGUGGCUUCCUAAGUCGGUUGUGAAAUCCCUGGGCUCAACCUGGGAAUUGCAGUCGAUACUGGGAAGCUCGAGUUCGGUAGAGGACGGCGGAAUUCCCGGUGUAGCGGUGAAUGACGUAGAUAUCGGGAGGAACAUCGAUGGCGAAAGCAACCGUCUGGGCCUGAACUGACACUGAGACACGAAAGCGUGGGGAGCAAACAGGG
rnacentral:rRNA from 1 species